rnacentral:rRNA from 1 species
AACGAACGCUGGCGGCAGGCUUAACACAUGCAAGUCGAGCGCCCCGCCAGGGGAGCGGCAGACGGGUGAGUAACGCGUGGGAACGUACCUUUUGGUUCGGAACAACUCCGGGAAACUGGAGCUAAUACCGGAUAAGCCCUAACGGGGAAAGAUUUAUCGCCGAAAGAUCGGCCCGCGUCUGAUUAGCUAGUUGGUGAGGUAACGGCUCACCAAGGCGACGAUCAGUAGCUGGUCUGAGAGGAUGAUCAGCCACACUGGGACUGAGACACGGCCCAGACUCCUACGGGAGGCAGCAGUGGGGAAUAUUGGACAAUGGGCGCAAGCCUGAUCCAGCCAGGCCGCGUGAGUGAUGAAGGCCUUAGGGUUGUAAAGCUCUUUUGUCCGGGAAGAUAAUGACUGUACCGGAAGAAUAAGCCCCGGCUAACUUCGUG